rnacentral:rRNA from 1 species
CCCUUAGAUGUUCUGGGCUGCACACGCGCUACACUGAAGGGAUCAGCGUGUUCUUUUCCUGGUCCGAAAGGAUCGGGUAACCCGCUGAACCCCCUUCGUGGUAGGGAUCGGAGCUUGCAAUUAUUCUCCGUGAACCAGGAAUUCCCAGUAAGCGCAAGUCAUAAGCUUGCGUUGAUUACGUCCCUGCCCUUUGUACACACCGCCCGUCGCACCUACCGAUUGAAUGGUCCGGUGAAAUCUCCGGACUGGCGUGAGUCGGAGCAAUCUGACAAACACCGGAAAGUUGAUUAAACCUUACCAUUUAGAGGAAGGUGAANUCGUAACA